rnacentral:rRNA from 1 species
CACCCAGACUCCUACGGGAGGCAGCAGUGGGGAAUAUUGCACAAUGGGGGGAACCCUGAUGCAGCGACGCCGCGUGGGUGAAGGAGUAUUUCGGUAUGUAAAGCCCUAUCAGCAGGGAAGAACAAUGACGGUACCUGACUAAGAAGCACCGGCUAAAUACGUGCCAGCAGCCGCGGUAAUACGUAUGGUGCAAGCGUUAUCCGGAUUUACUGGGUGUAAAGGGAGCGCAGGCGGCGCGUUAAGCCUGGUGUGAAAGCCCGCGGCCCAACCGCGGGACUGCAUUGGGAACUGCAUGGCUGGAGUGCGGGAGGGGCAGGCGGAAUUCCUGGUGUAGCGGUGAAAUGCGUAGAUAUCAGGAGGAACACCGGCGGCGAAGGCGGCCUGCUGGACCGCGACUGACGUUGAGGCUCGAAAGCGUGGGGAGCGAACAGGAUUAGAUACCCCAGUAU